rnacentral:lncRNA from 1 species
UUAUCAUGUGAUUAGGGUUGCAUUAGGGGAGGAAUUUGUCGAUCACAAUGAUACAUUACGGAAUGUCCACGGAUUCACAGCACAGAUAGCAUCAAGUCAGAGACACGCCGUCAGUGGGUCAUAUCAUCGGUGCUAUAUGAGGCCAGGUCGUGCACAAGGAGACCAUGUGGUACUGAGGAAGGUGGAGGUACCUCUUCUUAUCGUCCUGCAGCAGAAGAUGAUUCAGUUCAACAAGUUUGGAGUAUUUUGAUUCAGGUGCUGAGUUAGGUGAUGCAAUGCCGCGGGUGCAAUGUAACGCAAAGGUGGAACCAGUUCUGUCAUAAUCCUACUGCAAUUCCUCGUCGACAUGCUAUGCUCUGUUUUACCGAGAUGAGAACAAUAAUUUGAGAUGCACCGUGUGCACAAAACAUUGAAGAUUAAGCACUCAAUUGACCGAACAAGCCUACGAGUCUUGGUAUUCG